GGGCUCGUCACGCAAUCUUGCGUGAGAGCGUCUGCUCCCAAAGAGCGUCUGCGUGCCGUGAAUUCUUUGACGUGCCUACCAAGUGCGACGAGGUGCUUCGCUGUCACUUUUAUAGACGGCGUGUAAUCUCAGUACGCUUCUUUUUGUGCCCUCAGAUGAGAAAAAUAGAUAAUCUUGUUAUGUAAAGACUGCACUGUUACUCAUCAUCGAGAUUGGUGGUUCUGCGAUCCAUUGCCGCGGUGGUCGAGGACGUCAUUGAGAGGAAGGACUACAAAAGUUGGACCAGAUAAAAUUCAGAUUACCAGUCUGGGCUAAAUCAACUCAGAUCAACUCUGAUCAUGAAAAGCCCAUGAAAGCAAUAAUCAAAGUAUUGGUGGACUCAACUGACAGGCAUUAGUAUAGAGUAUAAUCGUCACUCUUGAAUUGCUGCUAAAAUCUUUAACACCAGUCAGCUUAAAUUGUAAAGGUGAGUCACUUACAUUGUUAAUCGUGAUCAGCUCAGUAGCAAGUACAAAGAAUCUGUGAAGACAUAAUAAUUAUUGAUUGUGUCAGUUAUACACAACUUAGACAGUUUUGAAAUUAACACUCACUCAUCCUCAUCGGGUCCAUGAGUAGUCUUGAGGCCAGCCAGAAGAUCACGCCACCCAUCCCGGUCUGAGGCCGAUG